rnacentral:rRNA from 1 species
UACGUAGGGUGCGAGCGUUGUCCGGAAUUAUUGGGCGUAAAGAGCUCGUAGGCGGCCUGUCGCGUCUGCUGUGAAAUCCCGGGGCUUAACCCCGGGCGUGCAGUGGAUACGGGCUGGCUGGAGGCAGGCAGGGGAGAAUGGAAUUCCCGGUGUAGCGGUGAAAUGCGCAGAUAUCGGGAGGAACACCGGUGGCGAAGGCGGUUCUCUGGGCCUGUACUGACGCUGAGGAGCGAAAGCGUGGGGAGCGAACAGG